rnacentral:rRNA from 1 species
GUACACUCCUACGGGAGGCAGCAGUAGGGAAUCUUCCACAAUGGGUGCAAACCUGAUGGAGCAAUGCCGCGUGAGUGAAGAAGGUCUUCGGAUCGUAAAGCUCUGUUGUUAGAGAAGAACACGUGCUAGGUAACUACUAGCGCCUUGACGGUAUCUAACCAGAAAGUCACGGCUAACUACGUGCCAGCAGCCGCGGUAAUACGUAGGUGACAAGCGUUGUCCGGAUUUAUUGGGCGUAAAGGGAGCGCAGGCGGUCUGUUUAGUCUAAUGUGAAAGCCCACGGCUUAACCGUGGAACGGCAUUGGAAACUGACAGACUUGAAUGUAGAAGAGGAAAAUGGAAUUCCAAGUGUAGCGGUGGAAUGCGUAGAUAUUUGGAGGAACACCAGUGGCGAAGGCGAUUUUCUGGUCUAACAUUGACGCUGAGGCUCGAAAGCGUGGGGAGCGAACAGGAUUAGAAACCCGUGUAGUCCCAUG